UUGUAAUCUAGAGAAGCRUUAUCCGUGCUGGGCCAUGUAUAAGUCUCCUGGAAUGGGGCAUMAUAGAKGGUGAGAAUCCCGUCUUUGACAAUGGACCUCCAGUACUUUGUGAUGUGCUCUCAACGAGUCGAGUUGUUUGGGAAUGCAGCUCUAAAYGGGUGGUAAAUUCCAUCUAAAGCUAAAUAUUGGCGAGAGACCGAUAGCGAACAAGUACCGUGAGGGAAAGAUGAAAAGAACUUUGAAAAGAGAGUUAAACAGUACGUGAAAUUGUUGAAAGGGAAACGCUUGAAGUCAGUCACAUUGAUCAGAGAUCAACCUUGCUUUUGCUUGGUGUACUUUCUGAUUUAAUGGGUCAGCAUCAAUUUUGAUCAGUGGAAAAAGACUGYAGGGAAUGUGGCAUCUCUGGAUGUGUUUAUAGCCCUCUGUUGUAUACAUUGAUUAGGAUUGAGGAACUCAGCACGCUGAAAGGCCGGGUUUUAACCACGUUCGUGCUUAGGAUGCUGGCAUAAUGGCUUUAAUCGACC
rnacentral:rRNA from 1 species